CAGCAGCCACGGUAAUACGAAGGGUGCAAGCGUUACUCGGAAUUACUGGACGUAAAGCGUGUGUAGGUGGUUGUUUAAGUCUGUCGUGAAAGCCCUGGGCUCAACCUGGGAAUUGCGUUGGAUACUGGGCGACUAGAGUGCGGUAGAGGAUAGUGGAAUUUCCGGUGUAGCAGUGAAAUGCGUAGAGAUCGGAAGGAACAUCUGUGGCGAAGGCGACUAUCUGGGCCAACACUGACACUGAGACACGAAAGCGUGGGGAGCAAACAGGAUUAGAUACCCCAGUAGUCCCUGUCUCUUAUAA
rnacentral:rRNA from 1 species